CCCUCCCGUCCAGCAGGGGGCGGUCAGGCGGGGAGGGGCCCUACCACAUCCGCCAUGUUGGAUAAAACCGGGGCUCGAGCUUCGGGUGGACCACACGUGUGAGGAUCAUCUGAGCUGCAGCAGCUGAGGAACCAGGAGCGAGGAGUCCUCCCUGAGAAGAUUUGAUCGUGUCUGUUGCGCACCACCUGUGAACACAUGGACACCGACACGUGCACCAUGAAGGGUGAAAUCUACUGGAGCCCGUCCAUGAAACCUGCCCGGAUGAGGAAAGCUUGGAUCAUUGCUGGGUGAAAUCCACUGGAGACUUCCCUGAGUCCUGCCCAGUUGAGGAACGCUUGGGAUACAUAAAGGAGGAUGUUGGGUCAGUCAAAGAUAAAUCGUCGACAGGGGGGACCCUCAGAGCUUGUGACUGGGUGAAAUCUACUGGAGCCCGUCCAGGAAACUUGCCCGGAUGAGGAAAGCUUGGAUCAUUGCUGGGUGAAAUCUACUAGAGUCUAUUCAUGAUUCCUGCCCGGAUGAGGAAAGCUUGGAUUAUUGCUGGUCCACGAGAUGAUCUCUCAACUGAUGAUGCCUCUGGAGGAUUACUCUAUUUUGUCAAAGCAUUAAUAGUUGUAUGCUUUUUUGUUUUUGCUUCAUCACAAAAUAAAGAUUGAACUAACUGAA